rnacentral:misc_RNA from 1 species
GAUGAAGAACGUAGUGAAAUGCGAUACGUAAUGUGAAUUGCAGAAUUCAGUGAAUCAUCGAAUCUUUGAACGCACAUUGCGCCUGCCAGCACUCUGGCAGGCAUGCCUGUUCGAGAGUCAUUUCAACCAUCAAGCCCUAGGCUUGCGUUGGAGCCCUGCGGCUGCCGCAGGCCCCUAAAAGCAGUGGCGGGCUCGCUAUCACACCGAGUGCAGUAGAUUACUCUUCGCUCAGGGCGUGUGGCGGGUUCCAGCCGUGAAACCCCCUACUUCUCAAGGUUGACCUCGGAUCAGGUAGGAAUACCCGCUGAACUUAAGCAUAUCAAUAAGCGGAGGA